rnacentral:rRNA from 1 species
AUGAACGCUAGCGGCAGGCCUAACACAUGCAAGUCGAGGGGCAGCGAGGGUAGCAAUACCUGUCGGCGACCGGCGGAAGGGUGAGUAACGCGUGAGCAACAUACCCGUAUCAGUGGGAUAAUACAGGGAAACUUGUUCUAAUAUCGCAUAAUAUUAUUCAGAGGCAUCUUUGGAUAAUUAAAGUUACGGCGGAUACGGAAUGGCUCGCGUGACAUUAGCUAGAUGGUAGGGUAAUGGCCUACCAUGGCGAUGAUGUCUAGGGGUUCUGAGAGGGAGGUCCCCCACACUGGAACUGAGACACGGUCCAGACUCCUACGGGAGGCAGCAGUGAGGAAUAUUGGACAAUGGAUGGAAAUCUGAUCCAGCCAUGCCGCGUGCAGGAAGGCGGCCCUAUGGGUUGUAAACUGCUUUUGUACGGGAGCAAUAAGGUCUACGAGUAGAUUGAUGAGAGUACUGUACGAAUAAGCAUCGGCUAACUCCGUG